rnacentral:rRNA from 1 species
GUGGGGAAUAUUGGACAAUGGGCGCAAGCCUGAUCCAGCCAUGCCGCGUGAGUGAUGAAGGCCCUAGGGUUGUAAAGCUCUUUCACCGGUGAAGAUAAUGACGGUAACCGGAGAAGAAGCCCCGGCUAACUUCGUGCCAGCAGCCGCGGUAAUACGAAGGGGGCUAGAGUUGUUCGGAAUUACUGGGCGUAAAGCGCACGUAGGCGGACAUUUAAGUCAGGGGUGAAAUCCCGGGGCUCAACCCCGGAAUUGCCUUUGAUACUGGGUGUCUGGAGUAUGGAAGAGGUAAGUGGAAUUCCGAGUGUAGAGGUGAAAUUCGUAGAUAUUCGGAGGAACACCAGUGGCGAAGGCGGCUUACUGGUCCAUUACUGACGCUGAGGUGCGAAAGCGUGGGGAGCAAACAGGAUUAGAAACCCGGGUAGUCC